rnacentral:tRNA from 1 species
GCAUUGGUGGUUCAGUGGUAGAAUUCUUGCCUGCCCUGCUGGAGGCCCGGGUGCGAUUCCCAACCAAUGCA